GACGAACGCUGGCGGCGUGCUUAACACAUGCAAGUCGAACGGAAAGGCCCUUCGGGGUACUCGAGUGGCGAACGGGUGAGUAACACGUGGGUGAUCUGCCCUGCACUUUGGGAUAAGCCUGGGAAACUGGGUCUAAUACCGAAUAGGACCACGCGCUUCAUGGUGUGUGGUGGAAAGCUUUUGCGGUGUGGGAUGGGCCCGCGGCCUAUCAGCUUGUUGGUGGGGUAAUGGCCUACCAAGGCGACGACGGGUAGCCGGCCUGAGAGGGUGACCGGCCACACUGGGACUGAGAUACGGCCCAGACUCCUACGGGAGGCAGCAGUGGGAAUAUUGCACAAUGGGCGCAAGCCUGAUGCAGCGACGCCGCGUGAGGGAUGACGGCCUUCGGGUUGUAAACCUCUUUCAAUAGGGACGAAGCGCAAGUGACGGUACCUAUAGAAGAAGCACCGGCCAACUACGUGCCAGCCGCCGCGGUAAU
rnacentral:rRNA from 1 species